GCGCUGGCUUCGGCAGCACAUAUACUAAAAUUGGAACAAUGUAGAGAAGAUUAGCAUGGCCCCUGUGAAAGGACGACAUGCAAAUUCGUGAAGCAUUCCACAUUAAG
rnacentral:snRNA from 1 species